rnacentral:tRNA from 1 species
GAGGGUAUAGCUCAGUGGUAGAGUGCAUGGGUCGUGGGUUCAAUUCCCAGUACUUCCA